CACGGUUGUCGAAAUCGGGACCUGAUCCUUCUUACCCAGGCACUGAGCUGGAAAUGACGACCGACGAAGCAGUGGGGGUGGCCGGGCAGCUGAAAAAGGGACAUUAUGGUUCCUAGAGUUUCGCUGUUUGCGCAGAAUCUCAUUUCUCGGAGAGUUAUAUUUCAGCACGUCCGGAGCUUAUCCUGCGCUCGGCAACAAGUGGGUCGAAACUGGAUGUUGACUAUAUCUAAUGCAAUAGUCGUUCUAUUAUACUUGCGAUUUACCGAGCAAACGAAGCGGGGAUCGGUGCAUCAUACCCUGGAUUUCGAAGGACUUCUGGGCCUGAACCGUCUCCUUGCGAACGGCUCGUCUUUGGGCCAAAUCGACGAGGGAUGAUCUCCUCGCGACAGUCGCGACGCCGCCGUCGGAACGCUGGUUAUGGAAUUUAAGAAAACGUACACACAACCGUGCAACGGGGAGAUCGAGGAGAUACGGAAAAUGGUUCGAGAUGCGAAUUCUGGAGCGUCUAGUGCUCGAGAUCACGUCUUCGGGGUUUCUUGGGAUGAGAACCCGCGUAUGUAGAGCAGAUGCUGGCAGUGGUGGCCCCGGUGUGUGAUUUUUCACCGCCGACAGCUCCUCCUUCGAGACCCGCGCAUUCCACCUUUCGCUUCCCCCUGCCUCCCAGCAUCCUUCACUCGCUGGACCCGGCGCGGUCCAGCACUUGGUCGUCGUGGCGUGGCGUGGCUCGUACCCCCGCCAACCUGAACCUGGACGCGCCACUGGACACCGGUUGCACGAUCUUAGAUUUGCUGAUCUCGCAUUCGAAGAGCCACCAACACACCGACCGACUCUACCCAUAACCCGAUAUUCGCUCACACUCGCACUCACGCUCAGGGUCCGCCGGUGCAUGAGUUACUCCGCGAGUGACAUACGCCGCUCUUCAACACCUACCCGCAGCCACUUCCAUCCUCCACUCGAUCGCUCCUUCGUUCCUUCGUCAUGUGACGAGCGUGAAUUUCACCAAUUUAUCAAGUUUCUUGACCAAUUUGUUAUUCAAGGACGUUAAAAAGAGAAUGUUCCCAGGAGACAAAAAAAAUUCCAGGAUAGUUUUCAGGACUCUUGAUGGACAAGCAAAAUUCAAGGAUAUUUUCAGGACCACUGGACACCGUCAGUCGUACACCACAGGGCAAUUGUACUUCCUCCAGAAUCAGUUGUAAUCUCAACCACGUUGGACCGAUUGUCAGUAGUUGUUACUCCCUGUUUCUCCCGAACUUGGUGUGAUCCAGAUCCGUUCAAGUGACGAUAUUCGCAAAUGAGGUCAACUCCAGCCGAAUUCCAUGUCGACGCUGGGAGGGAAACACGUGGACUCCAACCACCCCGUGCGCGGUCGGACGGAUAUAGACGAUCGUCACCGCGAUCAGGAGCGGCAUCGCAUCGUCGUCGGGCGUAAACAUAGGUGAGGCAGAGAGGUGGGUGGGUGAGCGCGUAUCACUCGCGUCGCGUCGCGUCGCGUCGCUCCGUUCCGCGUCGUCGGGUCAGCAGUGUCGCUCGCCUCUGCCUAUCUUCACGCACCAGCCACGCAACGCACACCGUUUCACACCUGUCUCGUCUCACCCUCUCUCCCUCUCUCCCUCUCUCCCUCUCUCCGAGGCAUCCGUCCGUCUCUCUCGUUCCACGCGACGAUCCCCACGCGUUUUUCACACGCCGCGUGUAUGCGUCUAACAGUGAAAGUGCAGUGAAUAAGCUCGACGAC